AUUGAACGCUGGCGGUAUGCUUUACACAUGCAAGUCGAACGGUAACAGGUCUUCGGAUGCUGACGAGUGGCGAACGGGUGAGUAAUGUAUCGGAACGUGCCUAGUAAUGGGGGAUAACCACUCGAAAGAGUGACUAAUACCGCAUAAUAUCUCAGGAUGAAAGCGGGGGAUCGCAAGACCUCGCGUUAUUAGAGCGGCCGAUAUCAGAUUAGGUAGUUGGUGGGAUAAAAGCCUACCAAGCCAACGAUCUGUAGCUGGUCUGAGAGGACGACCAGCCACACUGGGACUGAGACACGGCCCAGACUCCUACGGGAGGCAGCAGUGGGGAAUUUUGGACAAUGGGCGAAAGCCUGAUCCAGCAAUACCGCGUGCAGGACGAAGGCCUUCGGGUUGCAAACUGCUUUUGUACGGAACGAAACGGUUCAGAUUAAUACUCUGAACUAAUGACGGUACCGUAAGAAUAAGCACCGGCUAACUACGUGCCAGCAGCCGCGGUAAUACG
rnacentral:rRNA from 1 species